GCCGGUCUAGCUCAGUGGUAGAGCAAUCGCUUGAUAAGCGAUAGGCGCCUGGGUCAGUACCAGGGACCGGUACCA
rnacentral:tRNA from 2 species